CCCGCACAAGCGGUGGAGCAUGUGGUUUAAUUCGAUGCAACGCGAAGAACCUUACCUGGUCUUGACAUCCCGGAGACCCUUAGGAAACUAGGGGGUGCUUCCAUCUGGAAGAAUCUGGAGACAGGUGCUGCAUGGCUGUCGUCAGCUCGUGUCGUGAGAUGUUGGGUUAAGUCCCGCAACGAGCGCAACCCUUGCCUUUAGUUGCCAGCAGUUCGGCUGGGCACUCUAAAGGGACUGCCGGUGUUAAACCGGAGGAAGGUGGGGAUGACGCCAAGUCCUCAUGGCCUUUAUGACCAGGGCUACACACGUACUACAAUGGCCGAUACAAAGGGCAGCGACACUGCGAGGUGAAGCCAAUCCCGUAAAAUCGGUCUCAGUCCGGAUUGGAGUCUGCAACUCGACUCCAUGAAGUUGGAAUCACUAGUAAUCGUGGAUCAGCAUGCCACGGUGAAUACGUUCCUGGGCCUU
rnacentral:rRNA from 1 species